UUAUUUUAUAAUCUGUUGUGAAAAAUUACACACGAAAGCAGUAAAAAGUUGGUUUGCCAAACACGAAAAUAGUGAAAAGCGGGUGAGAAAAACGGGAUUAUUACGAGAAUCCACCUCAAUGCCGAACGCAACCUCAAUAAGACAUACUCCCGAGCAAUACUGCAGACCCAACUAAUUUGGUAUUCUUUUUACAAAUAGGCUAGUCUGAUUUUGUGAGCCACAUGAUUCUCAACUAAGCUACCCUUUUAAUCUUGAGUAAAUUUCACAAAACCACUACUCUAGGAGCAAGGGUUUUAGAGAGCCACCACUUCAAAGGCUUGCUUCACUUUGCCACUACUCUAGGGGUAAUUACUAUCAGUUUGCCCAAAUCUCACGGGUUAUAGCAUUUGACAGUAAAACUGACUGGAUGGGGCCACAUGUAAGGUCAGCUUUUAACGGGUUUCCGUCCGACCCGACCCGUUAACGAGCCGCCCCUCUUUUUUUCUUAUCUUCUUCCCCAGUUCCCCGACAUUUGCCCUGUCACUGGAACCCUAACUCCGGAGCAAAUCGACAGCGGGUCCGGCGGCGCGGCUGAGGAUGAUGGGGGCGAGUUCCAACGAGGUGCAGGAUUCCCGCUUGCUUGGCGAAGGGCCGGGUGGGCGCAGGCUAGGAACGAAGCUGCCGCUGUACACCGAUGAUUUGCCAACUAUCCAAGCCGAUUGUAGCCUAGGAAGUCGUUGCAGGCACGGGCUUCUUCCUAUGAGCCGUGUGUCUUUGGAAGGGAAAUCAACCGGCCGACGGUUUUUUGGGUGUCCAUUUGAGGAAAUGGAAGAUUGUGGCUACGUGUACUAGAUUGAUCCGAAGUGGCCUGCAUACAUGGAGAAUGCUUUGUCUGAGUUAUGGGGCAGAGUUGAAUCAACUCCUUAUUUUAGCGUGCAGGAUGUGAUGUUCAUGAUCCAAGUUAUGAAGAAACUGAGUGCAGAGAAGAGUAAAACUGUCAAUGAGAAGAUGAAGCUAGAGCUGAAGAUUGCAGACAUGGUGCAUGAGAUGGAGCAGGUUGCAAAGCGGAAAAGGAGGUCAUUUCGUUGCCGGCUACAGGAAUAUGAAAAUUGGUUCAUGAUAGCAGUUAUAGUUGCAGUUAUCUUAGCUAGUGUUUUAGUUGUAACUCUAGCUGUGAAGUAAUGAAUUUGAAUGUGUGUAUGUGUAAUGAAUAUUUGUUCUAGCCCCUGUAGUAGCACCUUUGAACUAAUGAAUUUUCAUAUGUAUUGAGUCCUG